GAGGGGGUCAGAGGCAUCAUCUUGUGUGGUUGUUUUAUUAUUUUAUGAUAUAUAUGAUAUUAAAAGAAAAUUAUAUGUUAAAACUGCUAAAAGAAUACAAACAUGGAGAAUCUUGGCUCCAUGUUUCAGAAGGAUGAUUUUUUUAUGAAACAUAUGAUAUUAAAAGAAAAUUAUAUGUUAAAACUAUACUAAAAGAAUAGAAAGGAAGGAUUUUAUUAGGUUAGCAAGGAAUAGAAAGGAGUGAUAACAAAAUCUUGUGGCUGACCAGAGAGUCUGAGACAGCUGGACUGUGAUUGGCCAUUAAUUAAAAACAGCUACAUGAAACUAAUCAAAGAUGCACUUGUUGCAUUCCACAGCAGCAGAUAAUUAUUGCUUACCUUUCCUUUCUGAGGCUUUUCUGCUUCUCAGGAGAGAAGUUCUUAGCAAAAAGAUUUUUCAUAAAAUAUUUCCAUGACAAUCUUGGGAGUGUCCAGUGCUGCUGGCCACAGGACAAGAGCUCUGUGUCCCCAAGGGGGGGUUCCAACCCUCCCCCAUGACUCUACUGACUGCAGGGCGGAGAUGUUUGUUGGUUUUUUUGGGUGCAAAAGGGGUUUUGGCUCACAAACAUCACUGUAGGGGCUUCGUGAGCCUGGUGUCACCCGCCCUGUCCCUUGUGGGUGCUCAGGGAACAAGGAGAGGCAGUCAAAGCUGCCAUGGAGGGGGAUGUGAAGACCCCCUGAACCAGACCCGUGGUGGGCACUGAGGCCUCCAAAACACUGGAGAUUUUUUGGAACAACCCAAAAUCCAUCAAUCCCACCACAACCUCCUCCACUGACGGAUCCAAGGUUUCUCCAGCAGCUCCGUGCCCAGUGUUGCCAGCUCUCCUUUCCAGGCACACAAAAUUCAAUGUUUUGUGCUAAAAAAAGCUUAAAGCAGCCCUCAGGGCUUCACUGGGGCUUUGCACAAGGGAAGCUUGGUUGGGGCUUGGUCUGUGCACAGCCUCGGAUCCAACACACCUCAGCUGGAUGGAUUUUGACACAAAAAGGGGUAAAAUUGCCCCUUUUUUUCCUGGAAUCAGCCACAACUCUUCCUUCUGCCCCAUCCCAAGUGUUUCCCCAGCUCCAGAACCACCCCAGAUGUGGCUGGAAGAGGGACCACUCUUCCUGGAGACCCAAUCCCAGUGAAGCAAGUUGAAAAUGGGAGAUAAAAUCCUGGUGUAUGAGCAAAGCUGGACCUCACAGAUGUCAAGGGGGUUCUCCUCUUCUCCCUUCCCCAGGUACAGUCACCCUGCGCUGAUAAAAAAACCUGUUUUCAAGAGAUUUGGGACAAAUACCCAUGCUUGAGCAUGGGCAUCUCUCACCAUCCCAUUAUUUCCUCUCCCCAAACCCCACUUUAAUCCACUUUUUAAUGGAUCUUUCC